GUUUAUUCGAUGCAACGCGAAGACCUUACCUUGUUCUUGCAUCCACAGAACUUAGCAGAGAUGCUUUGGUGCCUUCGGGAACUGUGAGACAGGUGCUGCAUGGCUGUCGUCAGCUCGUGUUGUGAAAUGUUGGGUUAAGUCCCGCAACGAGCGCAACCCUUAUCCUUUGUUGCCAGCGGUUCGGCCGGGAACUCAAAGGAGACUGCCAGUGAUAAACUGGAGGAAGGUGGGGAUGACGUCAAGUCAUCAUGGCCCUUACGAGCAGGGCUACACACGUGCUACAAUGGCAUAUACAAAGAGAAGCGACCUCGCGAGAGCAAGCGGACCUCAUAAAGUAUGUCGUAGUCCGGAUUGGAGUCUGCAACUCGACUCCAUGAAGUCGGAAUCGCUAGUAAUCGUGGAUCAGAAUGCCACGGUGAAUACGUUCCCGGGCCUUGUACACACCGCCCGUCACACCAUGGGAGUGGGUUGCAAAAGAAGUACGUUGAGUACCCAUC
rnacentral:rRNA from 1 species